GUCGGGAGGGCGGCUAAUACAACACCCCUUGGGGAAAUACGCCCGCCGACUCUUAGCGGUUUCUAACCUCCCGACAUCCCGUC
rnacentral:ncRNA from 1 species